CCCUUAGAUGUUCUGGGCCGCACGCGCGCUACACUGACGAAGGCAACGAGCUUUCCUUUACCGAAAGGUACGGGUAAUCUUUUGAAACUUCGUCGUGCUGGGGAUAGAUCCUUGCAAUUAUUGAUCUUAAACGAGGAAUUCCUAGUAAGCGCAAGUCAUCAACUUGCGUUGAUUACGUCCCUGCCCUUUGUACACACCGCCCGUCGCUACUACCGAUUGAAUGGUUUAGUGAGGCCUUCGGAUCCGCGACUCGUUUUGUGGAGAAGUUGGACAAACUCAGUCAUUUAGAGGAAGUAAAAGUCGUAACA
rnacentral:rRNA from 1 species